GAGAGAGGGAGCCCAGAGAUGGAUCCUGAGACACGAAUCCAGGCCCUACGGGGCGCAGCAGUCGCGAAAACUUCACAAUGGGGGCAACCCCGAUGAGGGAACUCCUAGUGCUAUCGCUAUUUUGUGAUAGCUUUUCUUAAGCGUAGAUAACUUAAGGAAUAAGGGCUGGGUAAGACGGGUGCCAGCCGCCGCGGUAAUACCCGCAGCCCAAGUGGUGGUCGAUUUUAUUGAGUCUAAAACGUUCGUAGCCGGUUCAUUAAAUCCUUGGGUAAAUCGGGAAGCUUAACUUUCCGACUUCCGAGGAGACUGGUGAACUUGGGACCGGGAGAGGCAAGAGGUACUUCUGGGGUAGGGGUAAAAUCCUGUAAUCCUAGAAGGACCACCGGUGGCGAAGGCGUCUUGCUAGAACGGAUCCGACGGUGAGGGACGAAGCCCUGGGUCGCAAACGGGAUUAGAUACCCCGGUAGUCCAGGGUGUAAACGCUGCAGACUUGGUGUUGGAGACCCUUCGUGGGUGUUCAGUGCCGGAGAGAAGUUGUUAAGUCUGCUACUUGGGGAGUACGUCCGCAAGGAUGAAACUUAAAGGAAUUGGCGGGGGAGCACCGCAACGGGAGGAACGUGCGGUUUAAUUGGAUUCAACACCGGAAAACUCACCAGCAGCGACUAUUACAUGAAAGUCAG
rnacentral:rRNA from 1 species